UUUCCUUGGGCUGGUUUCCUGCAUGUCUUUUAAGUAUUUGCUUUUAGUUUCCGUGUUUUGGUGUUUUGUUUGUUCGUUUUUUUUUUUUUUUUGUUUUUACGACAAUGCCUUCUAGGGGAACAGUGUCGCUGGGCUGGGCGGUGGAGAGACACCUUUGGCACCAUCGUGCGAUCUCAUGCACCCUACCAGUGAUCAACCCUUUGAGUCUGGCUUAGCUCAGGCAGAAAUUGUAGUCUGCAAAAGAAACUGAGAAGAAGAGGGCAAGGAGAGUGUGGCAUCCCAAGACAUAAAGACUCAAAUCAAUGAGAGCAAGCAACUCUGUCAAAUUUCACCAGAAGUGAGGACUAAAUAUUGACUACCGAAUUUUGCAAGUGCUCCAGAAUCUUAGGCAACUAUGUGCAAGGAGGCUGGGUCCCUGAAUGACUGCGUGGAGCAGAGCUCUUCCUUCCACCACCAUUCUGUUUUUGAACUGUGACACAAGCAAGAAAUAAAC
rnacentral:lncRNA from 10 species